CCUACGGGGGGCAGCAGUGGGGAAUAUUGGACAAUGGGGGCAACCCUGAUCCAGCCAUGCCGCGUGUGUGAAGAAGGCCCUCGGGUUGUAAAGCACUUUCAGUGAGGAAGAACGCCUGGUGGUUAAUACCCAUCAGGAAAGACAUCACUCACAGAAGAAGCACCGGCUAACUCCGUGCCAGCAGCCGCGGUAAUACGGAGGGUGCAGCGUUUAAUCGGAAUUACUGGGCGUAAAGCGCGCGUAGGUGGCUUGAUAAGCCGGUUGUGAAAGCCCCGGGCUCAACCUGGGAACGGCAUCCGGAACGGUCAGGCUAGGGGGAAGAAGGGGAAGGUAGAAUUCCGGGUGUAGCGGUGAAAGGCGUAGAGAUCGGAAGGAAAACAAGUGCGAAGGCGGCCUUCUGGACUGACACUGACACUGAGGUGCGAAAGCGUGGGUAGCAAACAGGAUUAGAUACCCGGGUAGUC
rnacentral:rRNA from 1 species